AACGCUAGCUACAGGCUUAACACAUGCAAGUCGAGGGGAAACGACAUUGGAAGCUUGCUUCCGAUGGGCGUCGACCGGCGCACGGGUGAGUAACGCGUAUCCAACCUGCCCACCACUUGGGAAUAACCUUGCGAAAGUAAGACUAAUGCCCAAUGACAUUGAGUGCGGACAUCUAAUCUCAAUUAAAGAUUUAUCGAUGAUGGAUGGGGAUGCGUCCGAUUAGCUUGUUGGCGGGGUAACGGCCCACCAAGGCAACGAUCGGUAGGGGUUCUGAGAGGAAGGUCCCCCACAUUGGAACUGAGACACGGUCCAAACUCCUACGGGAGGCAGCAGUGAGGAAUAUUGGUCAAUGGGCGAGAGCCUGAACCAGCCAAGUAGCGUGCAGGAUGACGGCCCUAUGGGUUGUAAACUGCUUUUAUAAGGGAAUAAAGUGGGGCUCGUGAGCUCUUUUGCAUGUACCUUAUGAAUAAGGACCGGCUAAUUCCGUGCCAGCAGCCGCGGUAAUACGGAAGGUCCGGGCGUUAUCCGGAUUUAUUGGGUUUAAAGGGAGCGUAGGCCGCAGGUUAAGCGUGUUGUGAAAUGUAGGGGCUCAACCUCUGCACUGCAGCGCGAACUGGCUUGCUUGAGUACGCACAACGUGGGCGGAAUUCGUGGUGUAGCGGUGAAAUGCUUAGAUAUCACGAAGAACUCCGAUUG
rnacentral:rRNA from 1 species